rnacentral:rRNA from 1 species
UACGAAGGGGGCUAGCGUUGCUCGGAAUCACUGGGCGUAAAGCGCACGUAGGCGGAUUGCUAAGUCAGGGGUGAAAUCCUGGAGCUCAACUCCAGAACUGCCCUUGAUACUGGCGGUCUCGAGUCCGGGAGAGGUGAGUGGAACUGCGAGUGUAGAGGUGAAAUUCGUAGAUAUUCGCAAGAACACCAGUGGCGAAGGCGGCUCACUGGCCCGGUACUGACGCUGAGACGCGAAAGCGUGGGGAGCAAACAGG